rnacentral:rRNA from 1 species
CGGAGGUGCAAGCGUUAUCCGGAUUCACUGGGUUAAAGGGUGCGUAGGAGGGCAGGUAAGUCAGUGGUGAAAUCUCUGGGCUCAACCCGGAACUGCCGUUGAUACUAUCUGUCUUGAAUACUGUGGAGGUGAGCGGAAUAUGUCAUGUAGCGGUGAAAUGCUUAGAUAUGACAUAGAACACCAAUUGCGAAGGCAGCUCACUACACAUAUAUUGACUCUGAGGCACGAAAGCGUGGGAUCAAACAGGAUU